GCUGUUCCCGCGCCCGGGGCAGGAAGGCGCGCUGGGCAGUUAGGUGCCCUCAGGGUGCCAGGCUCGUCAGACUGCUGGCCUUUCAGUCAUGUAUUCCAAUAUUUUGAGAAGGCCUACUGUGUGCCAGGCGCUGGGCCCCAGGGAGCGAAGCCGUCGUGCCGCCGCCGUAAUUGUACGCGGGUGCAGGGGUGCAGGGCUGGAAGCAGAUGCCUACUUGGUGCUGGUGUCAUUCCCAAAGGGGAGGCCAUCGCUGGUGCACAGGGAGGCUGGGUGGACAGAAUCUUCCUUUUUCUGCCACCCCCCAAAGCCAUCUAGUGAGAGGUGCUGCCAGCUUUGAAGGUUCCCUGCUCUCCCUGGUCCUCUGGUUCUCUUCAGACUCAUCUCGAGAGGAUGGACUGUCCCAGUGGGUCUCCGGUAAGCGCUGCAGUGGCUUCCUUAGCUGCCCUCCCUGGAUACUGGUGCACAUAAGGAUGAGAGGAUGGGUGGAUGCAAGGACAAAGGGACAGGUUUUCCCCAAGCCCUCCUUCCCGGUGAGAUCCUCUCUAAUCACUACAGCAGAACUGCCGCCCUUCCCCCAGCCAAGCAUCCUUCCCCCUCCUGCCCCCACCUCUGCUCUCUUUCCCCCAUAG
ensembl:lncRNA